UACAGAGGGUGCGAGCGUUAAUCGGAAUUACUGGGCGUAAAGCGUGCGUAGACGGUUAUUUAAGUCGGGUGUGAAAGCCCCGGGCUCAACCUGGGAAUUGCAUUCGAGACUGAAUAGCUAGGGUACGGUAGAGGGAAGCGGAAUUUCCGGUGUAGCGGUGAAAUGCGUAGAUAUCGGAAGGAACAUCAGUGGCGAAAGCGGCUUCCUGGACC
rnacentral:rRNA from 1 species